ACUACCCUGCGGUGUUUGCGAUUGUCAUUAAUUCUUUGAACCAUUCACCAGCAUCGGUUACGGAACUUGCACGAUGGGCGUGCGCGUCGCUUGUUCGAUGAACCCGAAAUCGGCUUACCGUGACCACCUUGAACCUCAGGUUCAAGAUGCCGACAUAGCGGCACCGGCGGGGGACAG
rnacentral:other from 1 species